rnacentral:rRNA from 1 species
CCCUUAGAUGUUCUGGGCCGCACGCGCGCUACACUGAUGCAUUCAACAAGUUCUACCUUGGCCGAGAGGCCUGGGGAAUCUUUCAAAUAUGUAUCGUGAUAGGGAUAGAUUAUUGCAAUUAUUAAUCUUGAACGAGGAAUUCCUAGUAAAUGCAGAUCAUCAUUCUGCGUUGAUUACGUCCCUGCCCUUUGUACACACCGCCCGUCGCACCUACCGAUUGAAUGAUCCGGUGAAGCCUCGGGAUUGUGCCCAGAGAACUUUAUUGUGAUUUGGGUGUGAGAACUUGUCUAAACCUUAUCAUUUAGAGGAAGGUGAAGUCGUAACA